GACGAACGCUGGCGGCGUGCUUAACACAUGCAAGUCGAACGGAAAGGCCCUGCUUUUGUGGGUUGCUCGAGUGGCGAACGGGUGAGUAACACGUGAGUAACCUGCCCUUUACUUUGGGAUAACUUCAGGAAACUGUGGCUAAUACCGGAUAGGAGCUCCUGCUGCAUGGUGGGGGUUGGAAAGUUUCGGCGGUUGGGGAUGGACUCGCGGCUUAUCAGCUUGUUGGUGGGGUAGUGGCUUACCAAGGCUUUGACGGGUAGCCGGCCUGAGAGGGUGACCGGCCACAUUGGGACUGAGAUACGGCCCAGACUCCUACGGGAGGCAGCAGUGGUGAAUAUUGCAAAAUGGGCGGAAGCCUGAUGCAGCAACGCCGCGUGCGGGAUGACGGCCUUCGGGUUGUAAACCGCUUUCGCCUGUGACGAAGCGUGAGUGACGGUAAUGGGUAAAGAAGCACCGGCUAACUACGUG
rnacentral:rRNA from 1 species